rnacentral:rRNA from 1 species
CCUACGGGUGGCAGCAGUCGAGAAUCAUUCACAAUGGGGGAAACCCUGAUGGUGCGACGCCGCGUGGGGGAAUGAAGGUCUUCGGAUUGUAAACCCCUGUCAUGUGGGAGCAAAUUAAAAAGAUAGUACCACAAGAGGAAGAGACGGCUAACUCUGUUCCAGCAGCCGCGGUAAUACAGAGGUCUCAAGCGUUGUUCGGAAUCACUGGGCGUAAAGCGUGCGUAGGCUGUUUAGUAAGUCGUGUGUGAAAGGCGCGGGCUCAACCCGCGGACGGCACAUGAUACUGCGAGACUAGAGUAAGGGAGGGGGAACCGGAAUUCUCGGUGUAGCAGUGAAAUGCGUAGAUAUCGAGAGGAACACUCGUGGCGAAGGCGGGUUCCUGGACAUUAACUGACGCUGAGGCACGAAGGCCAGGGGAGCGAAAGGGAUUAGAUACCCUUGUGGUC